GGGUUGUGAGGUUAAGCGACUAAGCGUACACGGUGGAUGCCCUGGCAGUCAGAGGCGAUGAAGGACGUGCUAAUCUGCGAUAAGCGUCGGUAAGGUGAUAUGAACCGUUAUAACCGGCGAUUUCCGAAUGGGGAAACCCAGUGUGUUUCGACACACUAUCAUUAACUGAAUCCAUAGGUUAAUGAGGCGAACCGGGGGAACUGAAACAUCUAAGUACCCCGAGGAAAAGAAAUCAACCGAGAUUCCCCCAGUAGCGGCGAGCGAACGGGGAGCAGCCCAGAGCCUGAAUCAGUGUGUGUGUUAGUGGAAGCGUCUGGAAAGGCGCGCGAUACAGGGUGACAGCCCCGUACACAAAAAUGCACAUACUGUGAGCUCGAUGAGUAGGGCGGGACACGUGGUAUCCUGUCUGAAUAUGGGGGGACCAUCCUCCAAGGCUAAAUACUCCUGACUGACCGAUAGUGAACCAGUACCGUGAGGGAAAGGCGAAAAGAACCCCGGCGAGGGGAGUGAAAAAGAACCUGAAACCGUGUACGUACAAGCAGUGGGAGCACGCUUAGGCGUGUGACUGCGUACCUUUUGUAUAAUGGGUCAGCGACUUAUAUUCUGUAGCAAGGUUAACCGAAUAGGGGAGCCGAAGGGAAACCGAGUCUUAACUGGGCGUUAAGUUGCAGGGUAUAGACCCGAAACCCGGUGAUCUAGCCAUGGGCAGGUUGAAGGUUGGGUAACACUAACUGGAGGACCGAACCGACUAAUGUUGAAAAAUUAGCGGAUGACUUGUGGCUGGGGGUGAAAGGCCAAUCAAACCGGGAGAUAGCUGGUUCUCCCCGAAAGCUAUUUAGGUAGCGCCUCGUGAAUUCAUCUCCGGGGGUAGAGCACUGUUUCGGCAAGGGGGUCAUCCCGACUUACCAACCCGAUGCAAACUGCGAAUACCGGAGAAUGUUAUCACGGGAGACACACGGCGGGUGCUAACGUCCGUCGUGAAGAGGGAAACAACCCAGACCGCCAGCUAAGGUCCCAAAGUCAUGGUUAAGUGGGAAACGAUGUGGGAAGGCCCAGACAGCCAGGAUGUUGGCUUAGAAGCAGCCAUCAUUUAAAGAAAGCGUAAUAGCUCACUGGUCGAGUCGGCCUGCGCGGAAGAUGUAACGGGGCUAAACCAUGCACCGAAGCUGCGGCAGCGACACUAUGUGUUGUUGGGUAGGGGAGCGUUCUGUAAGCCUGUGAAGGUGUGCUGUGAGGCAUGCUGGAGGUAUCAGAAGUGCGAAUGCUGACAUAAGUAACGAUAAAGCGGGUGAAAAGCCCGCUCGCCGGAAGACCAAGGGUUCCUGUCCAACGUUAAUCGGGGCAGGGUGAGUCGACCCCUAAGGCGAGGCCGAAAGGCGUAGUCGAUGGGAAACAGGUUAAUAUUCCUGUACUUGGUGUUACUGCGAAGGGGGGACGGAGAAGGCUAUGUUGGCCGGGCGACGGUUGUCCCGGUUUAAGCGUGUAGGCUGGUUUUCCAGGCAAAUCCGGAAAAUCAAGGCUGAGGCGUGAUGACGAGGCACUACGGUGCUGAAGCAACAAAUGCCCUGCUUCCAGGAAAAGCCUCUAAGCAUCAGGUAACAUCAAAUCGUACCCCAAACCGACACAGGUGGUCAGGUAGAGAAUACCAAGGCGCUUGAGAGAACUCGGGUGAAGGAACUAGGCAAAAUGGUGCCGUAACUUCGGGAGAAGGCACGCUGAUAUGUAGGUGAAGUCCCUCGCGGAUGGAGCUGAAAUCAGUCGAAGAUACCAGCUGGCUGCAACUGUUUAUUAAAAACACAGCACUGUGCAAACACGAAAGUGGACGUAUACGGUGUGACGCCUGCCCGGUGCCGGAAGGUUAAUUGAUGGGGUCAGCGCAAGCGAAGCUCUUGAUCGAAGCCCCGGUAAACGGCGGCCGUAACUAUAACGGUCCUAAGGUAGCGAAAUUCCUUGUCGGGUAAGUUCCGACCUGCACGAAUGGCGUAAUGAUGGCCAGGCUGUCUCCACCCGAGACUCAGUGAAAUUGAACUCGCUGUGAAGAUGCAGUGUACCCGCGGCAAGACGGAAAGACCCCGUGAACCUUUACUAUAGCUUGACACUGAACAUUGAGCCUUGAUGUGUAGGAUAGGUGGGAGGCUUUGAAGUGUGGACGCCAGUCUGCAUGGAGCCGACCUUGAAAUACCACCCUUUAAUGUUUGAUGUUCUAACGUUGACCCGUAAUCCGGGUUGCGGACAGUGUCUGGUGGGUAGUUUGACUGGGGCGGUCUCCUCCUAAAGAGUAACGGAGGAGCACGAAGGUUGGCUAAUCCUGGUCGGACAUCAGGAGGUUAGUGCAAUGGCAUAAGCCAGCUUGACUGCGAGCGUGACGGCGCGAGCAGGUGCGAAAGCAGGUCAUAGUGAUCCGGUGGUUCUGAAUGGAAGGGCCAUCGCUCAACGGAUAAAAGGUACUCCGGGGAUAACAGGCUGAUACCGCCCAAGAGUUCAUAUCGACGGCGGUGUUUGGCACCUCGAUGUCGGCUCAUCACAUCCUGGGGCUGAAGUAGGUCCCAAGGGUAUGGCUGUUCGCCAUUUAAAGUGGUACGCGAGCUGGGUUUAGAACGUCGUGAGACAGUUCGGUCCCUAUCUGCCGUGGGCGCUGGAGAACUGAGGGGGGCUGCUCCUAGUACGAGAGGACCGGAGUGGACGCAUCACUGGUGUUCGGGUUGUCAUGCCAAUGGCACUGCCCGGUAGCUAAAUGCGGAAGAGAUAAGUGCUGAAAGCAUCUAAGCACGAAACUUGCCCCGAGAUGAGUUCUCCCUGACUCCUUGAGAGUCCUGAAGGAACGUUGAAGACGACGACGUUGAUAGGCCGGGUGUGUAAGCGCAGCGAUGCGUUGAGCUAACCGGUACUAAUGAACCGUGAGGCUUAACCUUACAACGCCGAAG
rnacentral:rRNA from 1 species